ACAACCUAUUCAAUGAGAUUUCUUGUAGAUGGAAACAUCAUGGCUCCUCAUCUUCUAUUUCUAGCAACUUUUUGUUACUCCAGGAAUGUCAGCCCAGCUGACUUUCCCAUGGACCCUGAGUCCCAUUAUUUAUGAAAUCAGUGAUUCUAUUCAUUAUGAUGUCACAGUAGGACUGGUUUUAUACUAAUUUUAGAAUCUCUGUUCUCUUUGGAUCAGACAAGCCAUCAAAUGGCCUGGUUUGCCUUUUAGAAGUUCUUUCAGAGCUGUUACCAGAUGAAGAGACAACGAGCUUCCAGGGCAGGCUUUGGAAGGUAGACUAUUGUCACUCCUGGGGAUGAAGAAGAUGGAGAGAGAACAUUGUUUCCAAUGCAGGGAAAAAUACGAAGAACACUCAUGUUGCACGGAUUCCUAAUUGAAACUAAGCCUUCAGCUCUGGCUAAAGAAUGUGAAAAAUCCAGUGAGACUUGGAAAAUAAGCUGCCUUUGGAAACGUAGCCCAGAGGUAAACAACUGAGCAGCACACCAACCUAUUGGAGAAGUUCCACUUUGUCUGCCGAGUGUGGGUUUUGGAAUAAUAACGCUCUUCUUCAUAAGCUGCAUUCCAGUUUCGAGAGCCCUGUGACUGUAACCAUUCAUGUCCAUAGACAAUUAGUCUCUCAAAGUCCUUUUCAAGCUGGGGAGGAUUUCGUGUCUGCUCCAUACCAGCUCUGAGGGGGAGGGGGUGUGCCACAGCGAGGCGGGACUCGAGAUUUGAAAAUAUAAUCAGAUUCACCAUUUGAGAAACCAGAGUGCUAAUUUCCUAAAGUGCUUAGUCACUUUGAACCCUUGACUGCCUCCUCUGUGACUGGGCCCAGUGUGGAUCUGAGUGAGUCAUUUAUGGGGGUAGGGCAAAUGUAGGAGAGAAGAGCAGGACUUUUUUUUUUUUUAAUAUUUUAUUUAUUUAUCAGAGAGAGAGAGGGGGAGAGAGCGAGCACAGGCAGACAGAAUGGCAGGCAGAGGCAGAGGGAGAAGCAGGCUCCCUGCCGAGCAAGGAGCCCGAUGUGGGACUCGAUCCCAGGACGCUGGGAUCAUGACCUGAGCCGAAGGCAGCUGCUUAACCAACUGAGCCACCCAGGCGUCCCAAGAGCAGGACUUUUUACCAAUCUCAGACUUAUUGUCUAAAUGAAUUUGGCAUCUGGUUGGUGUUCCUUGCAUCUCAUCAUUUUAUUUUAUUUUUUUUUUUUUCAAAAAAGGACAUUGGGAAAUAGACUUCAGUUGUUUCAGUGGAAGAUAGAAGCAGUAGUUAACCUACAUUUGGUGCUAUAGAUCCUUCCAGUAUCUGUCCUGUGUGCAGAAUCCCCACUUUUUCUCAAUUUCCAGUGAAGUUAUGGAGUCCAAAAAGAGAUGGAGAGAGAGCAUUUGGAAGAGCUGCCCACCCAAAAUGAACACAACCCAAUUCCAGAUGACUUGCCUCCAUGUUGGAUGGGGCUUUCAUAUUGUUUUCUUUUUUCCUUUGAGACUGGUUUUCAUUAUCCAUUGUUUCUCUAAGUGGAUGAAAACUGAAAACUAUGGGUAUUAUAUUUUUAAAAUUAUUUUUAUUAAUAUAUAAUGUAUUAUUUGGGAGUAUUACAUUUUAAUUUGGGCCAGUACUGUUCUAACAAUUAGGAAUUUAACUGAUUAAAAAAAAAAAAACAACUCAAUUUGCUGGCGUGAAAAAAAAUCAUUUUCCAAAAUUUUUCAUAUGUUGACACAGAAGGAUAGGGAAAGCCAUUUAUGAUCAAAAUAAAGUAUUUUCAAAUAGUAGACUAUUACUUAGUUCCACAUUUCUUUUAUUACCCACAGAUAAUGGGAUCCUUGUAGGAGUCCCCAGCAAGCUGGUCACUACCAAUCUCAUCCCAUAGCAUUCUUUCUUUUCUUAUUAACUCUUAUUGAGUGGUUUGAGACAGAAAACCAUUCUUUCCAAUAUUAGAACUUCCAAAAAGAACGAUUUUAAAGAAUUAAUCAUAUUCAUUCUUUAGAGCAGAGCCAGAAUAAAUGUGAUGUGAUGCAUUAUCACACAUCCUCCAUUUGUGAAUAGAAAGACAUCAACUAGGAAUUAAUGUGCUUGCUAUAAACUUAGGGAAACAAAUUAAAAUCCCCAUUCUAUAUAAAAGAUCUAGUUAGUUUAUCUGCUAUUUGCCUUAUCACUUGAAAAUGUA